GUGGGGAAUAUUGGACAAUGGGCGAAAGCCUGAUCCAGCCAUGCCGCGUGUGUGAAGAAGGUCUUCGGAUUGUAAAGCACUUUAAGUUGGGAGGAAGGGCAGUAAGUUAAUACCUUGCUGUUUUGACGUUACCGACAGAAUAAGCACCGGCUAACUUCGUGCCAGCAGCCGCGGUAAUACGAAGGGUGCAAGCGUUAAUCGGAAUUACUGGGCGUAAAGCGCGCGUAGGUGGUUUUGUAAGUUGGAGGUGAAAUCCCCGGGCUCAACCUGGGAAGUGCCUCCAAAACUGCAUGACUAGAGUACGGUAGAGGGUAGUGGAAUUUCCUGUGUAGCGGUGAAAUGCGUAGAUAUAGGAAGGAACACCAGUGGCGAAGGCGACUACCUGGACUGAUACUGACACUGAGGUGCGAAAGCGUGGGGAGCAAACAGGAUUAGAAACCCGUGUAGUCC
rnacentral:rRNA from 1 species